rnacentral:rRNA from 1 species
CGGGAGGCAGCAGUGGGGAAUAUUGCGCAAUGGGCGAAAGCCUGACGCAGCAACGCCGCGUGAGGGAUGAAGGCCUUCGGGUUGUAAACCUCUUUUAGCAGGGAAGAAGCGAAAGUGACGGUACCUGCAGAAAAAGCACCGGCUAACUACGUGCCAGCAGCCGCGGUAAUACGUAGGGUGCAAGCGUUAUCCGGAAUUAUUGGGCGUAAAGAGCUCGUAGGCGGUUUGUCGCGUCUGCUGUGAAAAUCUGAGGCUCAACCUCGGACUUGCAGUGGGUACGGGCAGACUAGAGUGCGGUAGGGGAGAAGGGAAUUCCUGGUGUAGCGGUGGAAUGCGCAGAUAUCAGGAGGAACACCAAUGGCGAAGGCACUUCUCUGGGCCGCUACUGACGCUGAGGAGCGAAAGCGUGGGGAGCGAACAGGAUUAGAUACCCCGGU